UACGAAGGGGGCUAGCGUUGCUCGGAAUCACUGGGCGUAAAGGGUGCGUAGGCGGGUUUUUAAGUCAGGGGUGAAAUCCUGGAGCUCAACUCCAGAACUGCCUUUGAUACUGGGAAUCUCGAGUCCGGGAGAGGUGAGUGGAACUGCGAGUGUAGAGGUGAAAUUCGUAGAUAUUCGCAAGAACACCAGUGGCGAAGGCGGCUCACUGGCCCGGUACUGACGCUGAGGUGCGAAAGCGUGGGGAGCAAACAGG
rnacentral:rRNA from 1 species